UACAAAUGAAUCCCUCCCAAGACCUGAUAAGGUCAGUACUAGAGCCACUACUAACAGGUACCCAGAGUACUAGACAAAAAUCUAAAAUGUACACAAGUAGUCUCCAGUGAAAAAGACUAACUAGAGUAGAUAGAGGAGGAUCAGCCUCGGACAACAGUAAGCUCACCCCGCUCUAAACCAGCACUGAAAGGUAGGAACCGCGUCAACGCCGAUUUCUAGUACCUGGAUCUGCAUCAAGAAAAAGAUGCAGAAGUGUAGUAUGAGUACCAAAAAUCACGGGUACUCAGUAGGCAUCAUCGGUCGACUGAGCUUAAUACAGAAAAGGUAUAACUACAAUGCGAAGGCAUAAUCUGAGUCAUUAGUAAGUAAGGAUGAAAAGGUAAACAACUACCAAGCUAUGCAACGGCUGUAAAGGAAUACACUUGUGCAAUACAGAAAAAUAAUGAUGCAGUAAUAACAAAUAAAUCAAACAUAACCUAACUGAGCCCCCAUAAGCCCGCUAGGCACACUGAAGAAGAUAAUUAACCCAACCGUACCCCCAUAAGCCGGUGGGACACACAAGUGGUGAAAGUAAACAUAAAUAAUCAGAUGCCGAACUCGAACUGGAACUCAGAGUAACCCCAACUAUAAUCAGACGCCGGACUCGAACCGAAGCUCAUAGUAACAAUAAUAGUCAAUUGCCGGACUUGAAUCGGAACUCAUAGUAAUCAUAAUAGUCAAUUGUCGGACUCGAACCGAAACUCAUAGUAAUCAUAAUCCACCGAUAAUAUUAAAAUACAUAUCAUAACAAUAUAAAUGUCUAAAUAAUCAUUCAUUAAUCUUAAUUAAAAAGGAAUAAAUUCAAGACUUUUGCAUUUUAGCUUCACGUUUUAAAGUAAUAAAUGUUAUAUUAUGUUAAAAGAUAAUAUUUCAAUAUUUACUAGAACGAGGCCCUAAUCCAGAUAAAUAAGACUGUUUAUAUAAAUCAAAUAAUAUGCAUCUACAAGUAUUUAUUCAAAGCUAGCAUAAUAGUUCACAAUUUCGGUAUAUAAGCUCAAUCUAAAAGUCGGGUAAACCUAGCUACCUGGACGCCAAAGCUAGAAAUCUGUCCGCGAAGCCUCCGAAUAAUACUAGUAGAAUCCAAGCUUGAAUAAUUGAUUCGAAUAAUUAAUUUAUAUGAAAUUUUAUAAGACUAACCAAGAACUUUAAUUGAUUUUCUAAAAGAAGAAGCAAAUCAAGAAAGGCCAAUAUAAGAGAAAUAUAGAUAUGGACGUGUAUAUGUGUGCAGAAGUAGUGAAUGAAAGUUCACUCCUCUUCAUUGUUUUUACUUCCUUUUUAAAAAGCAAAGGCUACCUUUCCUAGCAAGUAGCAGCAACGUGUGUCCAUCCACCCGUUUUCAAGUGUGCGGUGGUGGUGGACACACUACUAAAUUUUCUGCACAGCAUAUAUAUAUUCGAGCAUUGCAUAAAUUCGUGGUAAAAUAAUUUUAACAAUUUGAAUAUACCAUAUUAAUAGAAAAAUAUUUCUAACAAAACCUCUAUUAUAUAAUAAUAAUAUUUUAACAUUUCUAAAAUUACUAUCUCCGCUUCAAAUAUUAAUAAAUCAUAAAAGUCCAUUAUAAAGUGAUAUAAAUAUAUCGUCACUUACAGAAUUUUAUCAAUAUUGAAUAUACUCCAAAAGGGUACUAAAUUAUAUUUCUACCAAAUGUCAAAUUAAAUUAAAUAAUCCACGAUAUAUUUAGAUAGUACUAAAAUUAUAUGAAAAAUAAAGGAAAAUGACCGUAAGGGUCAUUACAACAUCCACUACUAAAAGGACUUUCGUCCGCGAAAGUAAAAAAUAAGGUCAUACCUGAGGGCUCAAACAGGUAGGGAUACUGGGUGCGCAUAUCACGCUCGAUCUCCCAGGUAUCCUCCUCAAAUGGACGGUGACGCCACUGAACCUUAAUUAUUGGAAUAUCCCUGGAGCGCAACCGUCUAACAUCCCACGCCAAAAUAGACGUUGGCUCCUCUAUAAAUGCCAGUCCCUCAUCUAACUGAACCGAGUCCCACUGAAGUACGUAUGACUCAUCUGGGAUAUACUGCCGCAACAUAGAUACAUGAAACACCAGGUGAAUGGCUGAGAAGGCAGGUGGCAAUGCCAACACAUAAGCUACCUCUCCAACUCUUUGUAGGAUCUCAAAAGGUCUAAUAUAUCUAGGGCUAAGAUUGCCCCUCCUCCCGAACCUCAUCACGCCUUUCAUGGGUGAUACUCACAGGAAGACCCUAUCACCAACUCUAAAACUCAAUGGUCGACGUCUGUGAUCAGCAUAACUCCUCUGUCUACUCUGAGCUGCUCAUAGCCUAUCCUGAAUCACUCGAACCUGAUCCAGUGAAUCAUAAAGCAAAUCUAUGCCACAAGGUCUAGCCUCAGAAGUCUCUAACCAACCAAUAGGAGAUCGACAUCUCCUACCAUACAAUGCCUCAAAUGGAGCCAUCAGAAUACUCGAGUGAAAGCUGUUAUUAUAAGCAAACUCUGCCAAAGGUAGAAACUGGUCCCACUAACCCCCAAAAUCCAACGUACAAGCGCGGAGCAUAUCCUCUAGAACCUGAAUAGUCCGCUCUGACUGCCCAUCAAUCUGUUGAUGAAAAGUUGUGCUAAGGUCAACCUGGGUCCCCAACUUAUCCUGAAAUGCCCUCCAAAAUCUAGAAGUGAACUGAGAGCCUCGGUAAAAAAUAAUGGACAUAGGGACCCCAUGUAGGCGAACCACCUCCUGAAUGUAAACACGAGCUAACCUUUCGGCACUGUAGGAAACUCGAACGGGAUAAAAUACAUAGACUUGGUCAAUCGAUCCAUGAUGACCCAAAUAAAAUCAAAACCACACGAUGUACGAGGCAAUCCACCUACAAAAUCCAUAGUAAUUCGCUCCCAUUUCCACUCGGGAAUGGGUAGCUGCUGCAAAAAUCUACUAGGCCUCUGAUGCUCGACCUUUACCUACUGCCAAUAAAGACAUUAAUCCACAAACCCUGUUAUAUCUCUCCGCAUACCACUCCACCAGUAAUGCUACCUCAAAUCUCUGUACAUCUUAGUUGUACCGGGAUGAAUAGAGUAUCUAGAGCUAUGAGCCUCACAAAGAAUCAACUGGAUCAAAUCUCCAAUCCUUGGAACAUAAAUACAAUCGUCAAACCUCAAGACACCCUCAGAAUCUAGGGUAGCCCACUGAGACUCACCCCUCAACACCUGCUCUCAAAGGCUGCGAAGCCUAUCAUCCUCAAACUGACGACUCUGAAUCUGCUCCAACAAGGUGGAUCUGACCUCAACACUAGCAAUGAUUCUCUGAGGGUCAAAAAUAUCUAAACGAACUGUCAUGUUAGCUAAGGACUGAAUGUCCAAAGCCAACAGCCGCUGAGAAGAUGAAAUGAAAGCUAAGCUACCCAUACUUACUGACUUCCAACUCAAGGCAUCCGCUACCACAUUCGCCUUGCCCGGAUGAUAGAGAAUAGAGAUAUCAUAGUCUUUCAGCAACACAAUCCACCUGCACUGCCUCAAAUUAAGCUUCUUCUGGGUCAUAAUAUACUGAAGACUGCGGUGAUCAGUAAAUAUCUCACAGCAGACCUUAUACAAAUAAUGCGUCUAAAUCCUAAGGGCAAAUACUACCGCUGCCAACUCUAAGUCAUGGGUGGGGUAGUUGCGCUCAUGCACCUUUAACUGCCUCGAUGCAUAUACAAUAACAUGGUCACGCUGCAUCAGAACACACCCCAAACCAACACCAGAUACAUCGUAAUAGAUAGUAAAAUCCUUGCCCUCAACAGGAAGAGUCAGAAUAGGAGUUGAAGUAAGCAAAUCCUUGAGCUUCAUAAAGCUCGCCUCACAACUCGCAGAUCACUGAAAUGAAACCUCCUUCCUGGUUAAUCUAGUCAUAGGGGCUGCAAUAGAAGAAAAGCCCUCAAUGAACCGCCUGUAGUAACCUGCCAACCCAAUAAAGCUGCGAACCUCAGAAGGUGACGUAUGCCUAGCCCAACUACGAAUAGCCUUAAUCUUGGCUGGGUCCAUCAUAAUACCAUUCUUGGAUACUAUGUGCCCCAAGAAAGCUACAGACUCAAGCCAAAACUCAUAUUUUGAGAACUUGGCAUAAAGCCUGUGGUCUCUAAAAGUGCGAAGUAUAGUCCUCAAAUGCUGCUCGUGCUCCUCCUUACUCCUCGAAUAUACCAGAAUAUCAUCAAUAAAUAUUAUCAUGAAGGAGUCCAAAUAUGGCCUGAACACGCAAUUUAUCAGAUCCAUAAAAGCUGCUGGAGCAUUGGUUAACCCAAAAGACAUCACUAGGAACUCAUAAUAACCAUAACGAGUCCUGAAGGCUGUCUUAAGGAUGUCCGCAGCCCUAAUUCUCAACUCAUGGUAAUUGGACCUCAAAUCAAUCUGAGAAAACACCGCCGCACCCUGAAGCUGAUCAAAAAAAUCAUCGAUGCGAGGCAUAGGAUACUUAUUCUUUAUAGUAACCUUAUUCAACUACCUGUAGUCGAUACACAUACGCAAGGAGCUAUUUUUCUUCUUCACAAACAAAACUGAAGCACCCCAAGGAGAUACAUUCGGUCUGAUAAAUCCCUUACCCAGAAGAUCCUGAAGCUGACUAUUCAGCUCCUUCAGCUUAGCAGGAGCCAUAUGAUACGGAGCCAUAGAAAUAGGUUGGGUUCCAGGUUUGAGGUCAAUAAUAAACUCUACAUCACACUCAGGAGAAAGGCCAGGAAGGUCAGUCGAAAAUACAUCAGAAAACUCGCGAACAACAGGGACGGAGUCAAGCGGGGAACUCUCAACACUAACAUCCUAGAUAUAUGCAAGAAAGUACUCACAACCCCUCGAUAUCAGUCUCCAAGCCUGGAUGUACGAAAUAAUCCUCAUCGGUGCAUGGCUAACUAAACCCUGCCACACAACUGGGAUAUGCCAGGCAAAGCUAAAGUAAUGGUCUUAGCAAAACAAUCCAAGACCACAUGGUAAGGAGACAACCAAUCCAUGCCUAGAAUCACAUCAAAAUCAACUAUAUCUAGGACAAUAAGGUCAAUAUGAGUAUCAAACUCCCGAAUAGUGACCAAACAAGAUCUAUAUACCCUAUCCACUACUAAAGAGUCACCCACUGGGGUAGCCACAUAUAACGGCAUAGAUAAAGACUCUGAAUAUAAACCCAGGCGCAAUACAAAAUAAGUAGAAACAUAUGAAAAGGUGGAACCGGGAUCAAACAAAGCAGAAGCUGGCUGAUGGAACACGAAAAUCAUACCUGUAAUCAUAGUAUCCAAAGCCUCAGCCCCUGAUCUACCUAGAACAGCAUACAAAUUACCCUGUCCACUACUAGACUGGGUACCUACCCUACCUCUCUACGGACCACCUCUAGAACCCUGGGAACUACCUCCACGACCUUGUACACCACCCCUACCUAACGGAGGCACUGAUAUGAUCGGCUGACCAGCCAAAACUGAAGGUUCAAUCAUCCUACGCCGAGGACACUCACAGGCGAAGUGACCAACAACUCCGCAGCCAUAACAUGCCCCGAGCACCCUGCUCUGACUAGAAAUUCCAACAAAUCCAGGAUGACCACCCCUACUCGAUGAUCCUGACUAAACAACCCUCUACGGUUGGCUACUACUCUGACCACUGGAACUACAAUAGAAGGGCUGACCUCUAUCGGAUAUCUGAAGUAAUGCCUGAACUGGCUGACUAGGCUGACCCUGAUACUGAGAAAGCUACUGAUGAGGGUACCGACCGUGAAAUCCUCAGCCUGAGGACUGUGAACCACUGUAACUACCCUGGUAGCAUAGUCUCUUAUCGCUGCCCCCUUGGGCCUCACGAUCCAUCUCCUCUAUGGAAUAAACAUGGUCAGCUAUCUCCGAAAAAGACUUCCCUAAAGUCACCAAACUCUGAGUAGCCCUACGGAGUGACAAUCUCAAUCCCCUAACAAAGCAUCAAAUCCGCUCGUACUCCGUAUCCAAAAUCACAGUGGCAUGUCGGUCUAACUCAUGAAACCUUGCCUCAUACUCCGCCACAGUCAUGGAACCUUGCCUCAAUGCGGUAAACUCAUCUUGGAGAUACUCACGCAUGCUACGAGGCAUAUACUUCCCCAAGAAAGCCUCGAAGAACUGAGUCCAAGUCACUGGUGGAGAUCCAGUUGGCCUGGAAUCAAGAUAACCUGUCCACCACCUUCUCACUGUCGUGUCGAACUGAUAAGAAACAAAGUCUACUCCUCAUGCCUCAACCAGCCCUAAAUUCCACCACCGUUGCUCACAACUAAAUAGGAACUCAUAAGCAUCCUCUCCCGGGGUCCUAGCAAACCUGGGUGGAGUCAAUCUCAAAAAUCGACCCAACAUUUUCUACUUCUUUAUAGAUAUAAGUGGCUGGGCUACUGCCAGCUGUGGGACUAACCUCUACUCUCGGUGCCGCUGCUGCAGGCUGUGCCCCUAAAUCUACACCACCCUGCGCUGCUGGCUGAGCUUCCACGACCGGUGGACCGCCAAAUAACCCCAAUAACUGAACUAAUGUAUCUCGAAUAACUGAAGAAGAUGUAAAGACAGGUAGAGCCUGGGCUGCCCCUAGCCCACCUACUGAUGUGGCAGAAUACCUGGAGAUCUCUCAAUCCCCGGAGCUAUAACAGUAUCGGGUGAUGAAUUUCUGGCCUAAUCUCGAAUAGGGGCUGCUGCUCUACCCUGUCUCUGAAAUCUGGGUCGACCUCGACCCCAAGCUAGAACUCUAGAAGCGAACCCGCGGUCCUGACCCCCUGCUCUCGAACCUCGCAUCCUAGCCAUCUAUGUAUAGAGUAAACCAAUAAAAAGAUUACAACUAACUAAGACUCAACGCAUAAAAUGGAUCAAGAGAAUGAGAUUUUUUUUUCCUAACUAUGCUCUGUAGCCUCCCAAGGAUAGGAUACAGACGUCUCCGUACCAAUCUGUAGGACUCUACUAAACAUCGGCUCCAGUACUAAUAAUAGCAGUGUGACCUAAGCUCUGAUACCAACUUGUCAUGACCCAAUUUCUUAAGUCGUGAUGGCGCCUACCUUAUCCCACCAGUAGGCAAGCCAAACCAUAGCCCGAAAUAAUAGGCAACGGCCUAAUAGGUAGGGACAAAAUAAAAGAUCGCGUAUGAUGAUAACAAUCAUAAUAAUAAGUGAAAACUAAGAAGAUAGCAUAUAUAUUAUAUCAAAAUGAGAGGAGGAAAAAGGGUCAACUAUACAAAUGAAUCCCUCCCAAGACCUGAUAAGGUCAGUACUAGAGCCACUACUAACAGGUACCCAGAGUACUAGACAAAAAUCUAAAAUGUACACAAGUAGUCUCGAGUGAAAAAGACUAACUAGAGUAGAUAGAGGAGGAUCAGCCUCGAACAACAGUAAGCUCACCCCGCUCUAAACCAGCACUGAAAGGUAGGAACCGCGUCAAUGCCGAUUGCUAGUACCU
rnacentral:lncRNA from 1 species